UACGAAGGGGGCUAGCGUUGCUCGGAAUCACUGGGCGUAAAGGGUGCGUAGGCGGGUCUUAAGUCAGGGGUGAAAUCCUGGAGCUCAACUCCAGAACUGCCUUUGAUACUGGCGAUCUCGAGUCCGGGAGAGGUGAGUGGAACUGCGAGUGUAGAGGUGAAAUUCGUAGAUAUUCGCAAGAACACCAGUGGCGAAGGCGGCUCACUGGCCCGGUACUGACGCUGAGGUGCGAAAGCGUGGGGAGCAAACAGG
rnacentral:rRNA from 1 species